GACGAACCGUGCGAACGUUGUUCGGAAUUACUGGGCGUAAAGGGCGCGUAGGCGGCCCGCUAAGUCGAACGUGAAAUCCCCGAGCUCAACUCGGGAACUGCGUCCGAUACUGGCGGGCUUGAAUCCGGGAGAGGGAUGCGGAAUUCCAGGUGUAGCGGUGAAAUGACGUAGAUAUCUGGAGGAACACCGGUGGCGAAGGCGGCAUCCUGGACCGGCAUUGACGCUGAGGCGCGAAAGCUAGGGGAGCAAACGGG
rnacentral:rRNA from 1 species